rnacentral:sRNA from 1 species
CUGACAUCCCUGGAGACAGAACUCCUCAGUUUAGCAGCAGAACUAGUAGAGGCCGGGGAACAGCAUUGCAAGCUAUGCUACAUCACCCUGCUUUAGCAGUGUAACUGGCCCUGAUCCUGAGGGAAAUCUAGAGGGAAGUUCAGUCUCCAAGAUCUUGGCCUCUCUGCU